rnacentral:miRNA from 1 species
CACAUACUUCCUCCAUACAAAAAUACUUGUAGGAGAAAUGGAUGUAUCUAGAUGCAUUUUAAUUUUAGAUACAUCUAUUUCUAUUAAUUUUUGGGACAAGUAAUUCCGGACGAAGAAAGUAUUUA